rnacentral:rRNA from 1 species
UACGUAGGUGGCAAGCGUUGUUCGGAUUCAUUGGGCGUAAAGGGGGUGUAGGUGGCGCCGUAAGUCGGGUGUGAAAUCUCGGGGCUUAACUCCGAAACUGCAUUCGAUACUGCGGUGCUUGAGGACUGGAGGGGAGACUGGAAUUCAUGGUGUAGCAGUGAAAUGCGUAGAGAUCAUGAGGAAGACCAGUGGCGAAGGCGGGUCUCUGGACAGUUCCUGACACUGAGACACGAAGGCCAGGGGAGCAAACGGG